rnacentral:rRNA from 1 species
UGGGGGAUAUUGCACAAUGGGCGAAAGCCUGAUGCAGCGACGCCGCGUGGGGGAUGAAGGCUUUCGGGUUGUAAACCUCUUUCGCUAUCGAACAAGGCCCGCUUAGGGUGGGUUGAGGGUAGGUGGAGAAGAAGCGCCGGCUAACUACGUGCCAGCAGCCGCGGUAAUACGUAGGGCGCGAGCGUUGUCCGGAAUUAUUGGGCGUAAAGGGCUUGUAGGCGGCUUGUUGCGCCUGCUGUGAAAACGCGGGGCUUAACUUCGCGCGUGCAGUGGGUACGGGCAGGCUUGAGUGUGGUAGGGGUGACUGGAAUUCCAGGUGUAGCGGUGGAAUGCGCAGAUAUCUGGGGGGACACCGAUGGCGAAGGCAGGUCACUGGGCCAUUACUGACGCUGAGGAGCGAAAGCAUGGGUAGCGAACAGG